rnacentral:rRNA from 1 species
AGUGAACGCUGGCGGUAGGCCUAACACAUGCAAGUCGAACGGCAGCACAGUAAGAGCUUGCUCUUACGGGUGGCGAGUGGCGGACGGGUGAGGAAUACAUCGGAAUCUACUUUUUCGUGGGGGAUAACGUAGGGAAACUUACGCUAAUACCGCAUACGACCUACGGGUGAAAGCAGUGGAUCUUCGGACCUUGCCCGAUUGAAUGAGCCGAUGUCGGAUUAGCUAGUUGGCUGGGUAAAGUCCCACCAAGGCGACGAUCCGUAGCUGGUCUGAGAGGAUGAUCAGCCACACUGGAACUGAGACACGGUCCAGACUCCUACGGGAGGCAGCAGUGGGGAAUAUUGGACAAUGGGCGCAAGCCUGAUCCAGCCAUACCGCGUGGGUGAAGAAGGCCUUCGGGUUGUAAAGCCCUUUUGUUGGGAAAGAAAAGCAGCAGGUUAAUACCCCGCUGUUCUGACGGUACCCAAAGAAUAAGCACCGGCUAACUUCGUG